AACGAACGCUGGCGGCAUGCCUAACACAUGCAAGUCGAACGAGACCUUCGGGUCUAGUGGCGCACGUGUGCGUAACGCGUGGGAACCUGCCCUUAGGUUCGGAAUAACUCCCCGAAAGGGGUGCUAAUACCGGAUAAUGUCUUCGGACCAAAGAUUUAUCGCCUUUGGAUGGGCCCGCGUUGGAUUAGCUAGUUGGUAGGGUAAAAGCCUACCAAGGCGACGAUCCAUAGCUGGUCUGAGAGGAUGAUCAGCCACACUGGGACUGAGACACGGCCCAGACUCCUACGGGAGGCAGCAGUGGGGAAUAUUGGACAAUGGGCGAAAGCCUGAUCAAGCAAUGCCGCGUGAGUGAUGAAGGCCUUAGGGUUGUAAAGCUCUUUUACCCGGGAUGAUAAUGACAGUACCGGGAGAAUAAGCUCCGGCUAACUCCGUG
rnacentral:rRNA from 1 species